UACGUAGGGGGGCUAGCGUUGUCCGGAAUUAUUGGGCGUAAAGAGCUCGUAGGCGGUUUGUCGCGUCGGCCGUGAAAUCUCCACGCUUAACGUGGAGCGUGCGGUCGAUACGGGCAGACUUGAGUUCGGUGGGGGAGACUGGAAUUCCUGGUGUAGCGGUGAAAUGCGCAGAUAUCAGGAGGAACACCGGUGGCGAAGGCGGGGUCUCUGGGCCGAUACUGACGCUGAGGAGCGAAAGCGUGGGGAGCGAACAGG
rnacentral:rRNA from 1 species